rnacentral:lncRNA from 1 species
AGUGCCCUUGGCAGGCACCAGCAAUCCAACUCAUCAUAGACACUGAAACUCAUGUGUCAUCCGUGGACUAGAAAACAGUCUCUCACACCAGACCUGAAAUUCAGUGAUUAGAACUCUUGUUAGUGACAGAGCAGAACAGUCAUGAUUUUGCCUUUUAAAUCUUGAAUUUUCAAGUUUUAUCUGCAUGUGGAUUAGCUGGAAUAUAAUUUGUAAAUAACAUGUAUGAUUUAUACAGAUGCUGCAGCUGCAGGCAUGAGAGGAAGGCAGCUUGGACGUCUCUGUUCAACAUUGGUCAUCCAGUCUGAAAGUUUCCCAGACCCUGACUUAAAAUAGAAAGGAAGGAAAAACGAACCACAAACAAUUCCAGAGAUUAUGAGACAUGACAAUUGGACUUUCUGUCAGGGUAAAUAUCACAAGUAAGUGUAGUUUUGAUUCUAUUCAAGUUUUUGUUUGGAAGAGGCUGGAGGGGCUGAAUAGGAGUUGAGAUGACAACAGGGCCUUAGACAAUGUCAUAUAUGAAUCAGCCAUAAGUGGGCUCGGUGCUUCUGAGGUCUGUGUGUCAAAUAAG